rnacentral:rRNA from 1 species
AAUAGAUACCCGGGUAGUCCACGCCGUAAACGAUGAGUGCUAAGUGUUAGAGGGUUUCCGCCCUUUAGUGCUGCAGCUAACGCAUUAAGCACUCCGCCUGGGGAGUACGGCCGCAAGGCUGAAACUCAAAGGAAUUGACGGGGGCCCGCACAAGCGGUGGAGCAUGUGGUUUAAUUCGAAGCAACGCGAAGAACCUUACCAGGUCUUGACAUCCUCUGACAACCCUAGAGAUAGGGCUUUCCCCUUCGGGGGACAGAGUGACAGGUGGUGCAUGGUUGUCGUCAGCUCGUGUCGUGAGAUGUUGGGUUAAGUCCCGCAACGAGCGCAACCCUUGAUCUUAGUUGCCAGCAUUCAGUUGGGCACUCUAAGGUGACUGCCGGUGACAAACCGGAGGAAGGCGGGGAUGACGUCAAAUCAUCAUGCCCCUUAUGACCUGGGCUACACACGUGCUACAAUGGAUGGUACAAAGGGCUGCAAACCUGCGAAGGUAAGCGAAUCCCAUAAAGCCAUUCUCAGUUCGGAUUGCAGG